rnacentral:rRNA from 1 species
UUAUUGGACAAUGGGCGAAAGCCUGAUCCAGCCAUUCCGCGUGAGUGAAGAAGGUCUUCGGUUUGUAAAGCACUUUAUGUUGGGUGGAAGGGCAGUAAGUUAAUACUUUGUUGUUUUGACGUUACCGUCAGCAUAAGCACCGGCUAACUUUGUGCAAGCAGCCGCGGUAAUACGAAGGGUGCAAGCGUUAAUCGGAAUUACUGGGCGUAAAGCGCGCGUAGGUGGUUUGUUAAGUUGGAAGUGAAAGCCCCGGGCUCAACCUGGGAACUGCUUUCAAAACUGGCAGGAUAGAGUAUGGCAGAGGGUGGUGGAAUUUCCUGUGUAGCGGUGAAAUGCGUAGAUAUAGGAAGGAACACCAGUGGCGAAGGCGACCACCUGGGCUAAUACUGACACUGAGGUGCGAAAGCGUGGGGAGCAAAC